rnacentral:lncRNA from 1 species
CAUAAGAAACAUAUUCAGGACUUCUUCAUCCAUACUCACUUAGCUGAUUGCAACAUUUGUCUGUACAUUUGUAACAUUAAGGUGCAGGAGUUGGAACCUGGGGACCUAGUCAAGGAGGCGUUUUAGGUGGUGGAGCUGGUCAGCAAGCAGGGGGAGGAGUGGGAGUCGCACCUGGUUCAGGUGGAGGUGUGGGGACAAGAGUCGGAACGGGAUUUGGAGGAGGUGUUGGAACAGGAGCCGGACCAGGACUUGGAGGAGGUGUGGGGACAGGAGUUGGACCAGGACUCGGAGGAGGUGUUGGAACAGGAGCCGGACCUGGACUUGCAGGAGGUGUGGGGACAGGAGGUGGACCAGGACUUGGAGGAGGUGUGGGGACAGGACUCCGUCCUGGAUUUGGAGGAACAGGAGCAGCUGGAACAGGAGGUUGUAUAAAAGUGUUUUUUUCGUCUUCUUGUUAUGGUGUUAUUUCCUGUCUCUGUGAUAUUACUGUUAACACCUAAAAAUUCCUUCACUGUUAUGGUAAAAUAGUUUGACUCAUUCAAGUUUAUAGUUUGAUAACCAUUCGUUUCCACAUCAUUUGGAAUCACAGGUUACGUCCCUGGCUCUGACAAAGCUCGUAAAUAUGGUGAGACCUUUAAAAUACUACAACCACAAACUAAUGCAUGUUAUUAAAGCCUCACUCACUCAUUGUCCAGGAGCUGGAGGGACUGGUGGUGGCACCGGCUUUAGCCCUGGAGGUGCUGGUACUGGGACAGUUGGAGGACCAGGAGGAGUGGGCACUGGUGUAGGACCCGGUUCAGGUGUUGGCUAUGGUCCUGGUGGGGGCAGCACUGGGCCAGGUGGUCUUGGUUACGGUCAAGGUGCAGCGGGGGCUGGAUAUGGAGGGGCAAGAACAGGACCUGGUGGUUAUGACGCCAAUGCCAAAGCACGAAAAUAUGGUAUGCUUAGUGGGGCACUCGGAGGGUCAGGAGGAGCAGGGACUGGUUAUGGACCAGCUGGUGCUGGACAAGGAGGAGCAGGUACUGGUUAUGGACCAGGUGGUGUAGGGACUAGUUAUGGACCUGGUGGAGCUGGACAAGGAGGAGCAGGGACUGGUUAUGGACCAGGUGGUGUAGGGACUAGUUAUGGACCUGGUGGAGCUGGACAAGGAGGAGCAGGGACUGGUUAUGGACCAGGUGGUGUAGGGACUAGUUAUGGACCUGGUGGAGCUGGACAAGGAGGAGCAGGGACUGGUUAUGGACCAGGUGGAGCUGGACCAGGAGGAGUAGGGACUGGUUAUGGAUCACGAGAUGCAGGGACUGGUUAUGGACCAGGAGGAGCAGGGACUGGUUAUGGACCAAGUGGAGCUGGAACUGGUUAUGGACCAGGUGGUGCAGGAACUGGUUAUGGACAAGGUGGAGCGGUGCCAGGAGGAGCAGGGACGGGUUAUGGACCAAGUGGAGCUGGAACUGGUUAUGGACCAGGUGGUGCAGGGACUGGUUAUGGGCCAGGUGGAGCAGGACCAGGAAGAGCAGGGACUGGUUACGGUCCAAGCAGUGCAGGGACUAGUUAUGGACCAGGAGGAGCAGGGACUGGUUAUGGACCGGGUGGGACAGGAACUGGUUAUGGACCGGGUGGAGCUGGCUAUGGACCUGGAGGCUAUGCCGGAGCCAAAGCCCGUAAACACGGGCUUCCUGGAGGUGCUGGAGGUGCCCUGGGGGUUGAGGCUGGACCUGGUUCUGCAGGGGGAGUAGGUGGUGGCCUCCCUGGCCAAGGUGCAGUAACAACCAGUGGUGGACCUGGUUCUGGAGUUAGAGUUGGACCUGGAGCUGGAGCAGGGGGCUAUGGUCCUGGUUCUGGAGGAGCACUGGGCACUGGAAGAGGAUAUGGGCCUGGUGGAUUUUGGCCUGGCGCUGGAGCUGGUACUGGUUACGGACCAGGUGGAGGUUAUAGUGCAGGACCAGGAACUGGAUAUGGAGGUUUAAAUAUUACUUAA